rnacentral:rRNA from 1 species
UCCCCUAGUAACUGCGAGUGAAGCGGGAAAAGCUCAAAUUUAAAAUCUGGCAGYUUGGCUGUCCGAGUUGUAGUCUGGAGAAGCGUUUUCCGCGCUGGACCGUGUACAAGUCUCUUGGAACAGAGCGUCAUAGAGGGUGAGAAUCCCGUCUUUGACACGGACUACCAGUGCUUUGUGAUGCGCUCUCAAAGAGUCGAGUUGUUUGGGAAUGCAGCUCAAAAUGGGUGGUAAAUUCCAUCUAAAGCUAAAUAUUGGCGAGAGACCGAUAGCGAACAAGUACCGUGAGGGAAAGAUGAAAAGCACUUUGGAAAGAGAGUUAAACAGUACGUGAAAUUGCUGAAAGGGAAACGCUUGAAGUCAGUCGCGUCGUCUAGAACUCAACCUUGCUUUUGCUUGGUGCACUUUCUAGUUGACGGGCCAACAUCAGUUUUGACUGCUGGAAAAAAGCCUUUGGAAUGUGGCACCUCCGGGUGUGUUAUAGCCUUGGGUUGUAUACAGUGGUUGGGACUGAGGACCGCAGCACGCCUUAUGGCCGGGGUUCGCCCACGUACGUGCUUAGGAUGUUGGCGUAAUGGCUUUAAGCGACCCGUCUUGAAACACGGACCAAGGAGUCUAACAUGCCUGCGAGUGUUUGGGUGGAAAACCCGAGCGCGCAAUGAAAGUGAAAGUUGGGAUCCCUGUCGUGGGGAGCACCGACGCCCAUACCAGACCUUCUGUGACGGAUAUGCGGUUGAGCAUGUAUGUUGGGACCCGAAAGAUGGUGAACUAUGCCUGAAUAGGGUGAAGCCAGAGGAAACUCUGGUGGAAGCUCGUAGCGAUUCUGACGUGCAAAUCGAUCGUCAAAUUUGGGUAUAGGGGCGAAAGACUAAUC